AUAAAAUGUGUAUGAAAAAGGAUACAGAGCCGAUAUAAAAAAGAACUUGAAAGCCAUAAAUACAGAUUCCUUAAGCAGAGGAAUCUCAUACAAAAAUUACGUAAUCAUUCAUAACAAGGUUUUAUUCAAUACUGACUAUUUCAUAUAAAGAAUGUCUGGCAACCUAAAUUAUAAACAAUUAAUCACUAAACUGAUGUAAAAAUGGCGAUAGCAGAACAUUUUAUAAACGCAAAAACAUACCAUUUAAUGAUUAUUUGAUAGUUCUGAGAAAUGUAAUAAAAUAAUUGCCAUAAACAUAUAAAUGUGCAC